GCCAUUAUCUCAAAUUGUUGAUUUUAAAAGCACUUAAGACUCAUGUAAAUAAAAUCAGUGAUUUAUUAUUAACUAGAGUAAAUGACACUAAUCAAAAUAAGAUUUAGCUACCAAAUCUAAUAUAAGACGUUCCCAAAUAAAUCGACAAUCAUAAAAAAAUUAAACAAAUGAUAAGAGGAAAAGAAAAAUGAAAGACGCCAUAGGCGUCCCCAAGCGUUUUGCUUGUUUUCUUGCUAUCCGGGACAUUCUAAGGGGAUGCCAUGUAAUGACUCCAUGCAUGGGUAGUGUUGAGUCUCGAGUGCGACUCCAUUUUUUGCUCCAAGUAUAUAUGCAAAAGGAAAGGAGAAGAAAAUUAGAGGCGAAAAUUCAAUACAAGAAUGAAGCACGCAAGACAAGAGUACAACUAUUUUCUUCACUCUGCAAUAGACAAGAAAUCGAAGAACUGUAGCAAAUCAUAUACGAACAUUUUUCAAACUCGAGCACUAUUUUAACAUAUCUUUUUAAAGAGCAAUGUUCCAGCAAACAGGAGGUGUUUCUUACUUCUACAAAAGCUUUUAAAUUAACACAUAUAAGAUACCAACGCCUAAUAGCAUAACUAUAGGUGCAUACUAGUAUUUCAUUAUUAAAUAAGACAUAUGUAUUUUCAACAAAAUAUUUGAAAUCCAAGAAGCAUGAUGUACGAAGGAAAAGGCUUAGCAGUAAAAUAAGUUGAUAUCUAAAUUAGUCUUAGUAUCAUGACAAAAAUACCCUAUAUUCAAUAAAGAAGGUUGAAAAACACAUCAAGUUCCGGUUUAAUUCUCAUCAAAUAAUUGAGUCAAAAUUUAGUCUUACAGCAUGAUUUCUAAAUGACUAAAAGAUCUCAUAUCUAUUAUUUCACUCAUAUAGACAUGAUUCUUAAAGAAAAGCUUAAAGGUUACAACUCUUUUAUACAGUAUCUACAGAGGUAACAUGACAACUAAAUGUAUAACUGUAAGCUCUAAAUCAAUGUUAGUUCCAACAGAAUGUCUAUAUUUGCUACAAUACUUCAAGUAACCAUUGAACAUGAUAUAGGUUUGAUUCCUUUGAAUAUCUACUUAAAGAUGGUGAUUCUUAUAGGCAUUCUAUAUAACAGAAAAGAGACUCAAGUCAUGAUUCUGUUAGAAGAAUAACUCCUUUUUUUAAAGGAAUCUAGGCUAAGUGACCGAACCAUUCAGGCAAAAUAUGCAGAUAGCUAACCUCAAAUCUGUUCAUGUGAAUACAUAACAACUGAUGUACUAUUUCAUUUUAAAUUUUAUUCUAUUUAGCCAAAAUAACAACUUCUACAAACAUACGAGCUCUAUCUCAUAACUCUAUACAACAUAGCUCGUAACGGACACUUUAUGUGAAGAUUAAUCUCGAAUCAUAAUCACAAACCAACCAUAGCACUAUUUUAGAUAGAAAUAAAAUCUACCUUUGACCAGAAAAAAAAAACAGAAAGGAAUAGCUUAACCGUUACUGACCUUUUUGCGGGCAGUGAACAAGGGUAAGCCGCUAUCAGAUUCUAACCUCGAACUUGCUGUACUCGGGUAGUCGUCAAAUACCAGAACGAACGGAAACAAACACCACUGUUUUGGCUAAACGCCGACAGAGAAAGAGAUUAAAAGAGAGAGAGAGCUGAACCUUUUAAGAGUGUUUCUUUUAGGGAUAAUAACAAUAGUAGAUUUGUAGGAGUUAGCAAUGGCGGCUAAAACUCCGAGCUUUGGGGCGGCUCCAACCUCAAAUUUUGGGGUGAAAGGGGCGGCUAAGAGCUUAAGGUUAAAGAAGGGGGCUGAAGCUUGUGGGUUUAAAGAGAGGUGCUACGGCUCCAAAAGCUUUGCCCCAAUAUAUUUCAAAUGCAAGUAUUUAUAGGUGAAGAAGUAGGAUUCAUGUUUCAAAAUCCCAUGGUAGAGAACGAUCACGAGUAUUUUUGAUUCAAAAGAGCCGUUCGAGGCAGCUGAUUUUCAACGAGCAAGGUGUAGGUAUGACAGCAGAGAUUUUACCAAAAUUGCCUAAUCUCCUUCUGGCAUUGGGAAAAUAUAGAAGAAAAUGUAUAUAGAAUGGAAAGACUUUUGAAAAGAGAGAGAGAGAGAGAAAUUUUGGAAAAAGAGAAAAAUUGGGGAAAAAUGUCAAACAUUCCGAAAAGCAAAGAUUUUAUGGGGGAAAGGAGAUUGUUCACGUGAAGGAAGGACAAAACUUUU
rnacentral:lncRNA from 1 species